rnacentral:rRNA from 1 species
CGCCGCGUGAGGGAUGACGGCCUUCGGGUUGUAAACCUCUUUCAGCAGGGAAGAAGCGAGAGUGACGGUACCUGCAGAAGANGCGCCGGCAUAACUACGUGCCAGCAGCCGCGGUAAUACGUUAGGGCGCAAGCGUUUGUCCGGAAUUAUUGGGCGUAAAGAGCUUCGUAGGCGGCUUUGUCGCGUCGGUUUGUGAAAGCCCCGGGGCNUNAACCCCCGGGUUUUGCAGUUCGAAUACGGGCAGGCUNAGANUUUCGGUAGGGGGANAAUCGGAAAUUCNUGGUUGUAGCCGGUUGAANNUGCGCAGANUAUCANGGANGGAAACACCCGGUGGCCGAANGGCGGAAUUUUUGGGCCCGAAUACUUGAACGCUUGANGGANCCGAAAUCCGUUGGGGGANCCGAAACAGGGAAUNAGANUACCCCNUGGUUAGUUCCAANGGG